rnacentral:rRNA from 1 species
CACUCCUACGGGAGGCAGCAGUGGGGAAUUUUGGACCAUGGGCGAAAGCCUGAUCCAGCAAUGCCGCGUGUGUGAAGAAGGCCUUCGGGUUGUAAAGCACUUUUGUCCGGAAAGAAAUCCUUGGCUCUAAUACAGUCGGGGGAUGACGGUACCGGAAGAAUAAGCACCGGCUAACUACGUGCCAGCAGCCGCGGUAAUACGUAGGGUGCGAGCGUUAAUCGGAAUUACUGGGCGUAAAGCGUGCGCAGGCGGUUUGCUAAGACCGAUGUGAAAUCCCCGGGCUCAACCUGGGAACUGCAUUGGUGACUGGCAGGCUAGAGUAUGGCAGAGGGGGGUAGAAUUCCACGUGUAGCAGUGAAAUGCGUAGAGAUGUGGAGGAAUACCGAUGGCGAAGGCAGCCCCCUGGGCCAAUACUGACGCUCAUGCACGAAAGCGUGGGGAGCAAACAGGAUUAGAAACCCCAGUAGUCCCA